rnacentral:rRNA from 1 species
UACGUAGGGUGCAAGCGUUAAUCGGAAUUACUGGGCGUAAAGCGUGCGCAGGCGGUUUUGUAAGACCGAUGUGAAAUCCCCGGGCUUAACCUGGGAACUGCAUUGGUGACUGCAAGGCUAGAGUGUGUCAGAGGGAGGUGGAAUUUCGCGUGUAGCAGUGAAAUGCGUAGAGAUGCGGAGGAACACCGAUGGCGAAGGCAGCCUCCUGGGAUAACACUGACGCUCAUGCACGAAAGCGUGGGGAGCAAACAGG